AGCCUUGUGCAUGGCAGGGACAGGAAGAAGGUUUAUCUCUGAGUAUGGACGGAGAGAUCAGAGUCCGUCCUGUCCUGUCCGUCCUGGGUUGUAAGGCAUAUAACAUAUUACCAAGAAAGGAGUUGAUAGAGAAAUUCUGCAUAGUUCUCUACCACAGGCUCAGUAAAGAAUUCUUGUCACUUCUAAGUCCGCGGAGUAAAGAUUCUUGCACAAGUUCUUGAUUGACUAGGAUGGUGAACAGUUCUUUGAUGAGAUUCUUGGUUUGAUCAAGGUCUGUCAGAUAAUUGAAUUCAAGGAGAUAUAUGAUACUAUUCUCUCACAAGUUGAGCAACACUUUCACGUAUACACGCUUAUAGAUAAAGUAAUAUUUGUUAAACAAGGUAGGGGACUAUUUAGCUGUUCCUCUAUCAUAAAAAGCAGUGCCCAGGAUUCAAUUCAUUUGAACGUGGACCCAGAUCCUGGAUCCACUCUGAAAAUAAAUCUGGAUCCAGGUCAUAAUCAUUUCUUCUAGAUUUUCUGAAUUUUUAAUAAAUGAAAAAUUUUCAAUUCGUUUAUUUAUAUGCUGAAACUUAAUGGACCUUUUUGAGAUUAGGAAGGUUAACCGUCAAGAUUUGGGAUAUAAGCACAAAAUGUUCUUAAAAGAACAUGACGCUCUACAAACAGAGGGGUCACUUUAUGUAUUAAACAGUCACUUAAAGUUGUUCUUAUAAGUUUUGUUCCAGUUGCUAGUGUUGGACGUGUACUUCGAGUUGUUAAAGUUCUGGUCCGCCGUAGAGUACAAGAGAUUAAUAGAGAUGAAGGAUGGUCUCUUCCUAGACUCCAGUACUAACUGUGAGAACCCACUCUUGUCAAUCAUAGAUAUCUCCGCACACAUCGGAGAACUAGCGGAGACUGCUCUCGCCUCUGCCCGCUCGGAGCAUUCUCCGGACCAGAGCUUUUUCUCUCAUUUCAUCACGGAGAAGUAUAUCGUCGCCCAGGAGGUUAUGCUGAGGUUUGAGGUAGCUGUGAGGUUGAUUCUACCCCAACCAUUCUAUCACUAGGCACUCUUCUCCUUCUCCUACCUCUCUAUUUCCCAGGUGGCAAAGUAUGUUUUAACCCAGAAGAAGCGAGUUAUUCCUCUUUUGAAAGAGAGAGGUGCGUAUCUAGAAACCAUGGGAGAUUCUAAAUCUGCGAAGAUCAUCAGAAAUCAGCUCAGUUUGGAUCAGCUGAUCCGAGGAUUUGAUUCUAUAUUGGGGGUAUGUUGCUAGUUCUUAGUCCUACCUCGGUCUACCAGAGAUCAGAUUUAUUGCUCAGGAUGGGUUGGACAGUUGACGAGGAUUAUAUUCUUGACAGACUUUUCAUCUCUAAACAUCCAGCAUUUCUUUCCCUUACCAUCAAAUAUUUCUCAGAGCUAGGGUUGAACAAAUCUGAUGUUCAGGAUAUUUGGAAAGGACUCACAGUGGAUAGAAUUGUUUAAUCAGAGUAAGGCACCUAAUACAUUCUACAAAAGCAAGGCUUCAAACAUGGUUGCAGUAUCUGAUCUUCAAUAUUUUCUAAAGCAUACAAUAAAAUCACAAAUACAAGGAUUUCACAAAAACUACCUUGUUUUGUAAAUUGCCGCUGAUAUUGUUUGAUUCUUA
rnacentral:lncRNA from 1 species